GGGUUGUGAGGUUAAGCGACUAAGCGUACACGGUGGAUGCCCUGGCAGUCAGAGGCGAUGAAGGACGUGCUAAUCUGCGAUAAGCGCCGGUAAGGUGAUAUGAACCGUUAUAACCGGCGAUUUCCGAAUGGGGAAACCCAGUGUGACUCGUCACACUAUCAUUAACUGAAUCCAUAGGUUAAUGAGGCGAACCGGGGGAACUGAAACAUCUAAGUACCCCGAGGAAAAGAAAUCAACCGAGAUUCCCCCAGUAGCGGCGAGCGAACGGGGAGGAGCCCAGAGCCUGAAUCAGCAUGUGUGUUAGUGGAAGCGUCUGGAAAGGCGCGCGAUACAGGGUGACAGCCCCGUACACAAAAGCGCAUGUGCUGUGAGCUCGAUGAGUAGGGCGGGACACGUGGUAUCCUGUCUGAAUAUGGGGGGACCAUCCUCCAAGGCUAAAUACUCCUGACUGACCGAUAGUGAACCAGUACCGUGAGGGAAAGGCGAAAAGAACCCCGGCGAGGGGAGUGAAAAAGAACCUGAAACCGUGUACGUACAAGCAGUGGGAGCACGUGACUGCGUACCUUUUGUAUAAUGGGUCAGCGACUUAUAUUCUGUAGCAAGGUUAACCGAAUAGGGGAGCCGGAGGGAAACCGAGUCUUAAUUGGGCGUUAAGUUGCAGGGUAUAGACCCGAAACCCGGUGAUCUAGCCAUGGGCAGGUUGAAGGUUGGGUAACACUAACUGGAGGACCGAACCGACUAAUGUUGAAAAAUUAGCGGAUGACCUGUGGCUGGGGGUGAAAGGCCAAUCAAACCGGGAGAUAGCUGGUUCUCCCCGAAAGCUAUUUAGGUAGCGCCUCGUGAAUUCAUCUCCGGGGGUAGAGCACUGUUUCGGCUAGGGGGCCAUCCCGGCUUACCAACCCGAUGCAAACUGCGAAUACCGGAGAAUGUUAUCACGGGAGACACACGGCGGGUGCUAACGUCCGUCGUGAAGAGGGAAACAACCCAGACCGCCAGCUAAGGUCCCAAAGUCAUGGUUAAGUGGGAAACGAUGUGGGAAGGCCCAGACAGCCAGGAUGUUGGCUUAGAAGCAGCCAUCAUUUAAAGAAAGCGUAAUAGCUCACUGGUCGAGUCGGCCUGCGCGGAAGAUGUAACGGGGCUAAACCAUGCACCGAAGCUGCGGCAGCGACGCUGAUGCGUUGUUGGGUAGGGGAGCGUUCUGUAAGCCUGCGAAGGUGGCCUGUGAGGGUUGCUGGAGGUAUCAGAAGUGCGAAUGCUGACAUAAGUAACGAUAAAGCGGGUGAAAAGCCCGCUCGCCGGAAGACCAAGGGUUCCUGUCCAACGUUAAUCGGGGCAGGGUGAGUCGACCCCUAAGGCGAGGCCGAAAGGCGUAGUCGAUGGGAAACGGGUUAAUAUUCCCGUACUUGGUGUUACUGCGAAGGGGGGACGGAGAAGGCUAUGUUGGCCGGGCGACGGUUGUCCCGGUUUAAGCGUGUAGGUGUGUGUUCCAGGUAAAUCCGGUUCACUUUAACACUGAGGCGUGAUGACGAGGCACUACGGUGCUGAAGCAACAAAUGCCCUGCUUCCAGGAAAAGCCUCUAAGCAUCAGGUAACAUCAAAUCGUACCCCAAACCGACACAGGUGGUCAGGUAGAGAAUACCAAGGCGCUUGAGAGAACUCGGGUGAAGGAACUAGGCAAAAUGGUGCCGUAACUUCGGGAGAAGGCACGCUGACACGUAGGUGAAGUGAUUUACUCAUGGAGCUGAAGUCAGUCGAAGAUACCAGCUGGCUGCAACUGUUUAUUAAAAACACAGCACUGUGCAAACACGAAAGUGGACGUAUACGGUGUGACGCCUGCCCGGUGCCGGAAGGUUAAUUGAUGGGGUCAGCGCAAGCGAAGCUCCUGAUCGAAGCCCCGGUAAACGGCGGCCGUAACUAUAACGGUCCUAAGGUAGCGAAAUUCCUUGUCGGGUAAGUUCCGACCUGCACGAAUGGCGUAAUGAUGGCCAGGCUGUCUCCACCCGAGACUCAGUGAAAUUGAACUCGCUGUGAAGAUGCAGUGUACCCGCGGCAAGACGGAAAGACCCCGUGAACCUUUACUAUAGCUUGACACUGAACAUUGAGCCUUGAUGUGUAGGAUAGGUGGGAGGCUUUGAAGUGUGGACGCCAGUCUGCAUGGAGCCGACCUUGAAAUACCACCCUUUAAUGUUUGAUGUUCUAACGUGGACCCGUGAUCCGGGUUGCGGACAGUGUCUGGUGGGUAGUUUGACUGGGGCGGUCUCCUCCUAAAGAGUAACGGAGGAGCACGAAGGUUGGCUAAUCCUGGUCGGACAUCAGGAGGUUAGUGCAAUGGCAUAAGCCAGCUUGACUGCGAGCGUGACGGCGCGAGCAGGUGCGAAAGCAGGUCAUAGUGAUCCGGUGGUUCUGAAUGGAAGGGCCAUCGCUCAACGGAUAAAAGGUACUCCGGGGAUAACAGGCUGAUACCGCCCAAGAGUUCAUAUCGACGGCGGUGUUUGGCACCUCGAUGUCGGCUCAUCACAUCCUGGGGCUGAAGUAGGUCCCAAGGGUAUGGCUGUUCGCCAUUUAAAGUGGUACGCGAGCUGGGUUUAGAACGUCGUGAGACAGUUCGGUCCCUAUCUGCCGUGGGCGCUGGAGAACUGAGGGGGGCUGCUCCUAGUACGAGAGGACCGGAGUGGACGCAUCACUGGUGUUCGGGUUGUCAUGCCAAUGGCACUGCCCGGUAGCUAAAUGCGGAAGAGAUAAGUGCUGAAAGCAUCUAAGCACGAAACUUGCCCCGAGAUGAGUUCUCCCUGAGACUUUAGGUCUCCUGAAGGAACGUUGAAGACGACGACGUUGAUAGGCCGGGUGUGUAAGCGCAGCGAUGCGUUGAGCUAACCGGUACUAAUGAACCGUGAGGCUUAACCUUACAACGCCGAAG
rnacentral:rRNA from 1 species